AUUGAACGCUGGCGGCAUGCCUUACACAUGCAAGUCGAACGGUAACAGGUCUUCGGAUGCUGACGAGUGGCGAACGGGUGAGUAAUACAUCGGAACGUGCCCGAUCGUGGGGGAUAACGAAGCGAAAGCUUUGCUAAUACCGCAUAAGAUCUACGGAUGAAAGCAGGGGACCGCAAGGCCUUGCGCGAACGGAGCGGCCGAUGGCAGAUUAGGUAGUUGGUGGGAUAAAAGCUUACCAAGCCGACGAUCUGUAGCUGGUCUGAGAGGACGACCAGCCACACUGGGACUGAGACACGGCCCAGACUCCUACGGGAGGCAGCAGUGGGGAAUUUUGGACAAUGGGCGAAAGCCUGAUCCAGCCAUGCCGCGUGCAGGAUGAAGGCCUUCGGGUUGUAAACUGCUUUUGUACGGAACGAAAAGACUCUGGUUAAUACCUGGGGUCCAUGACGGUACCGUAAGAAUAAGCACCGGCUAACUACGU
rnacentral:rRNA from 1 species